AUUAAAGUCAAACACAUGACAUUAAGAAAUUUCUAAUAAUCUUAGAAAUAAGCUAGUCCAUAAUCACUUGAGAUCAUUUCCUCACCCCAUAAUCCAUCAACUAACUGAGAAAUGACAACUCACCAAUUAGUUUUUCAUCAGAACUCAUAACACAGCACUUACCCAUUCACAUAAUAAAAGUAUUGACAUUAAUGAGAGCGUAACUUAAUCAAAUAAUAAUCCAUUAAUAAAAUGAAAAUUAACAACUUAUACCUUCAUAGAUGAUUCUUGUGCACUUGACUUUCUAAGCAAAGAACGUCACUAUUCUUUUCAAGAAGGCAGCCACCACAAAGCAUAGAAGCUUCUUCAUAUAAUAGUACAACAAUCAAAACCUGAAACAUACGCAUUAGUAUUAAUUUAUUAUAAUUUAGCAGCAGUAAAUAUUUUUAUAAAAAAGUUAUCUGCAGUAAAUAUAAGAAUAACAAAGAAUAAAAUCUUAGAUCAACAACAGAGAACCUAAACUCUACAACUUGCUUGAACUACUAUCAACAUCAUACUGCAUAAUCAAAUAGACAAAAUAGUUUAAUAUAUAAUUUGUAUUGACCUGCAUACUAUCACGUAAAAAAUAUUGUAACAAAAACAAAACAUAAAAUUGUUUGGUGAUCACAAUGGAUCCUGGAAUGACAACAACUACAUUAUUAUAAUGAGUUUGACAUGUCAUUGUACAUGGAUUCGUUAUGAUGAAUCAUGAAACACCGUUGAGUAGUUAAUUCAGCCACUUUUCACCUAUAAAUUUGAUGGCAUACUUUGAAUACACAACAUGGUUAUAAAUAUAAGUUUAGAGAAUUUUUGUGGGAAAGAAUAAUUUUGUUGACAAAAGAUUAAGUACAAAAAUUAUAACAUCUCCAUUUUUAAUAUAGCUGACAUAAGUUAUUCGAGUGAAAAAAAAAAAAGAGGGAACUUAGAUACGCCAUAUUAAAUAGGGCAGUAAUAAAAAAAAUCUAAUUGACAUAAAUUAUUUGAGCAAAUGACAAAUUUUUGCUAAGAAACUCGUUUUCAUUUUUUCCCAAAUAAUAAUCAAUGUUUUUUUCCACUACGCAUCGAAAGAGCUCGCAUCGACAUCAAUCAUGAACCAGUCGUGGCCUAGCUAUAUUGCCUGCAUUAUGAAUACCACCUAUGACCUUUACAGCCUAACCGUUUAUCUCAGUCUAUUUUUAAUACUCAGUCACAGGUCCAGACCAUUCAAGUUCAGGACAUGACCCUACUGGUCCCAUUAUAUAUCUAUUUAAAUUUCUUUUUUUUUAGAAUGUCUAUUUAGAUUUCUUAAAUUUAAAAAACAAAUCAACUUCUAGCCCUUUAAAAAAAAAAAAAUCUAAAAUCAACAAAGCUAUUAAUUUGAAGAUAUUUUGAAUUCCAAUUCCCAAUUAAAAUCAUGAAUAUAUCAGCUAUAUCAUAGCUUCAGCAUAACUAGUAAGUGGUGACAUCAAAUUUUCAAAUAUUUGGAACUGGAAGCAAAUAUCUAGUUAAUGAUUAAAGUAGUUGACGAAUAAAACCUCUCGUAUUAUCAUAGAGGCUACCCCAAUAGCUUGCAAUAACUAUGUAUGGUGCAGUAAAGUUUCAGGAUAGAUGAAUAAACUAAAAAGCAAAAGAGAAAUAUCAGUUGCAGCAAGAACUACGUCAUCUCCACCUCGAUUAUUAUUCAAAUAUUAACACCAAAUGUCACUGAACAACACAAGAGAAACAUGAUCCAUAUUUUAAAUGUAUCUGAAUAGCAUAAAUAUGAAAAUCAUUGCAGAAAGUAAAAAAAAAAAAAGAAAAAAGUAAAGAGAAAUUUAUCUCACAGCAUUCCUAUUAUUAAAAAAUAUCAAAUAAAUGUGCUCCGAGAUAUAACUUCAUGCACAUUCAGAAGUUCUCAGGCCAAAGAACAUUAUAGCAACUACAAAAACUCAUGAGCCAGCAGGUCUUGUCCCAGUACAAGGUGAAGCAACUAAAAUUAUGCUUUAAGAACUUUAUAUAUAUAUAUCACGAACGCAGGAAGAAAAUUAUUUCUAUAUCAAAAUCAAGAUCACCCAACCAAACAAUGGUACCUUCCAAUAUACCUAGUGUAUGUAUAUAGGCAUCCAUUGAUUGAUACUUUGAAUUUAAUUAAUAAAUCAAUUUCAGGUGUCAUGUUUCCACAUUAAAGAGAGAUAAUAACAAUUAACUAGAUAUGACAGGACUGGAUAAAAAUUUGCUCAAAAUAUACUACAAAGAUCAAAUUUUAUUACUUUUCACCUGCUGUCAUUUCUCUCCAACGUCAGAUCAUGACCUCGAGCAACUCUUUCGGCUUUCUUCGCCCAUUUUUCUUCUUUUUACAGCAUGAAGCUAAUACGAAGCCAAAUGAAAAGUAGAUUAGUCAUUUCAAAUUCAAUUUAAUUGUCAAUUGAAAAGUUCAAUUGUUACCUUCAUCAGCUGUAGAAUCAAUAGUUAAUGAAAUAUACAAUAAGAAGAGUAAAAAAUUUCACCUGCAAAUUAGGACAGCCGAGGAAGCAUCCGUAAACAUAAGAGUAAUUAUAUCACUCUGAAAUUUCAUAAGAGAGAAUUAGGACAGCAGCGAAAGAAAUAAACAAAGCAAUUUGCAAAGGACACAGGCAUAAACAUGAUAGUAAGAAUAAAAUAUCAAACUGUAAGAAGAAGCGAGAAAAACAAAUCAAAAACAAACUGAGAAGCAGGAAGAGCUGUGAUGGUAAAUUCUUCAUCUAAAGCAGUUGAAGAACGAGCAAUGGAUACCGGUCCUUCUUCGUGCUAUCGAGAAAGGAGUCAGAGUUGAGAUCGAGAGAACAACGGAGACCGAUUCUUCGUCUCCGUAAUUUUCCCCUUUUUCUAAAAUGCUAUUUCGCAUUUCCUUUGCUUUUUGGUUUCCGUAUUUCGAUUUUG
rnacentral:lncRNA from 1 species